rnacentral:lncRNA from 1 species
AUUGAAACAUAAUGAUGCAUCAUCUUCAAUUUUACUAGGAGCGGUCAAUCCCAUCUUGACUCGCACUCAGACUUCACAAGUACUUGACUGUAUCCAAAAAUCUUCCAUCACCGAAUUAAAAAUUCAGGUUGUCCGACACCAAAGCAUAGUGAGUUACUUGUAAGUCACCAAGGCAGCCUCAGAUCCAAGGGACACUUAUACUCAUAUCCCAUC